AUUGAACGCUGGCGGCAGGCUUAACACAUGCAAGUCGAACGAUGAAACUCUAGCUUGCUAGAGAUGAUUAGUGGCGGACGGGUGAGUAACAUUUAGGAAUCUGCCUAGUAGUGGGGGAUAGCUCGGGGAAACUCGAAUUAAUACCGCAUACGACCUACGGGUGAAAGGGGGCGCAAGCUCUUGCUAUUAGAUGAGCCUAAAUCAGAUUAGCUAGUUGGUGGGGUAAAGGCCUACCAAGGCGACGAUCUGUAACUGGUCUGAGAGGAUGAUCAGUCACACCGGAACUGAGACACGGUCCGGACUCCUACGGGAGGCAGCAGUGGGGAAUAUUGGACAAUGGGGGCAACCCUGAUCCAGCCAUGCCGCGUGUGUGAAGAAGGCCUUUUGGUUGUAAAGCACUUUAAGCAGGGAGGAGAGGCUAAUGGUUAAUACCCAUUAGAUUAGACGUUACCUGCAGAAUAAGCACCGGCUAACUCUGUGCCAGCAGCCG
rnacentral:rRNA from 1 species